GUGCUCACUUCAGCAACACAAAUACUAAAACUGGAACAAUAAAAGAUUAGCACGAACCCUGUACAUGGGUGACAUGCAAAUUCUUGAAGCAUUCCGUAUUUUU